rnacentral:rRNA from 1 species
UAGGGAAUCUUCCGCAAUGUGCGAAAGCCUGACGGAGCAACGCCGCGUGAGUGAUGAAGGUCUUCGGAUCGUAAAACUCUGUUAUUAGGGAAGAACAAAUGUGUAAGUAACUAUGCACGUCUUGACGGUACCUAAUCAGAAAGCCACGGCUAACUACGUGCCAGCAGCCGCGGUAAUACGUAGGUGGCAAGCGUUAUCCGGAAUUAUUGGGCGUAAAGCGCGCGUAGGCGGUUUUUUAAGUCUGAUGUGAAAGCCCACGGCUCAACCGUGGAGGGUCAUUGGAAACUGGAAAACGUGAGUGCAGAAGAGGAAAGUGGAAUUCCAUGUGUAGCGGUGAAAUGCGCAGAGAUAUGGAGGAACACCAGUGGCGAAGGCGACUUUCUGGUCUGUAACUGACGCUGAUGUGCGAAAGCGUGGGGAUCAAACAGG